GACGGGCUAGCUCAGUUGGCAGAACAUGAGACUUACUAAUCUCAAAGUCAUGGGUUUGAGCCCCAUGUUGGGCA